GCGCCUGUAGCUCACCUGGAUAGAGCAACUGCCUUCUAAGCAGUAGGCAGCAGGUUCGAUCCCUGCCAGGCGCA
rnacentral:tRNA from 1 species